UACGAGUGCCUCGAGCGUUAUCCGGAAUCAUUGGGCGUAAAGGGUGUGCAGGCGGUCUUGUUAGUCUUCUGUUAAAUUUCUCGGCUUAACCGGGAACCUGCAGGGGAAACGGCAAGACUUGAGGAUGCGAGAGGUUAACGGAACUCAUAGUGUAGCGGUGAAAUGCGUUGAUAUUAUGGGGAACACCAAAUGCGAAGGCAGUUAACUGGAGCACUCCUGACGCUGAGACACGAAAGCGUGGGUAGCGAAUGGG
rnacentral:rRNA from 1 species